rnacentral:rRNA from 1 species
UACGUAGGGUCCGAGCGUUUGUCCGGAAUUACUGGGCGUAAAGAGCUCGUAGGUGGUUUGUCGCGUUGUUCGUGAAAACUCACAGCUUAACUGUGGGCGUGCGGGCGAUACGGGCAGACUUGAGUACUGCAGGGGAGACUGGAAUUCCUGGUGUAGCGGUGGAAUGCGCAGAUAUCAGGAGGAACACCGGUGGCGAAGGCGGGUCUCUGGGCAGUAACUGACGCUGAGGAGCGAAAGCGUGGGGGAGCGAACAGG